CCAAGUCUUCAACUUCUUUUUAUAAACUUAGAGGUUACUAUUUGAAUUGGACUAUCAUUUUAUUUGUAAAGUAUUCACACAAGUAAUUAAAUUUGGAACUUUAUAGCUUUAUAUUUUUUUUUUCCUUAUUAGAAAGUGUUGAGAAAAUUCCUUGUGGAAUUCAAAGACCAUCCCUUUUACUUUCUCUCUCACCUUUGACACGUAUUUGAAUACCAAACUUCUAUAUAACCACUAAGAUAGACCCAUCAUUAUUCAUUUUUCAUUAACACUUCUCGGAGUAAGACUUCAAUUCAUAGCUCAAAUAUAUACUUCUCCAUAAGCUAUAACAACAAAGGUUUGAAUUUUACCUACCCUUUUCUUUUAAUCAAGUUUUUUCUUCAUAUAAUUAUAAACAUAUCCAUUAUAUUUUUCCUUUUCAAAAAAAUAUGAACAUAUCCAUUUAAUUUCUUUGAUUUUUAUCAAAAAAUAAUUAUUUUCUUUUUAAUUAAAGUUGGCACCCAAAAAUAAAUAAAUUAAGUUGCAUUUCUCGACUGUUCUAUUUCAUAUGUGAUUUAAACAUAUUUUUGCAUACUCUGAUAAUAAAAAGAAAUGUGGUUAUGAUAUUUUUGUAUGGUUGUUAAUGAUUUUUGUAUUGUGCUUUAUUUAUGGUUUGAUUAAUGGAGGUGUUUAUGUAAUUUGAACAGGAUUAAAAAAAAAGGGUAGAUUUCAAUUUCAUCAAAAGAAUCGAAAUUGGUGUGAAUCAAACAAAAGCUCUAUGGGAUUAUCACUUUCCAUAUUAAUUUCAGCUUGGGAAGAAAUUGUUAGACAUUCACUCUUUGGUCUAUCAUUCACUCUUUGGUCAUGAAUAUGAAAGGGCUUGUGUUGUAUUCAACUUCCCUUACCUACAAAGACAGACACAGAAAGAGAGACUCAGAGAGAGAGAGAGAACACAAAGCAAAGAACAAGUAUAACGUGGCACAUAGGAAAACAAAGAAAGGAACAAACGAGAAGUGAAAAACAGAGUACUUGCUCUGUUUUUUCAUUCUUUCUUCGUCAAAAACAGUAAUUUAGAAUCACACCAGGCGAUCUACACACUGU
rnacentral:lncRNA from 1 species